AGGGUUUGAUCAUGGCUCAGAAUCAACGCUGGCAGCGUGCCUCAGACAUGCAAGUCGAACGAUUAAAGCUCCCUUCGGGGAGUGCAUAAAGUGGCGCACGGGUGAGUAACACGUAAGUAAUCUACCCUCGGGUGGGGAAUAACAUCGGGAAACCGAUGCUAAUACCGCAUAAUGCAGCGGCACCGCAAGGUGACAGUUGUUAAAGAUUUAUUGCCUGGGAGGAGCUUGCGGCAGAUUAGCUUGUUGGUAAGGUAACGGCUUACCAAGGCGACGAUCUGUAUCCGGUCUAAGAGGACGGUCGGACACACUGACACUGAAUAACGGGUCAGACUCCUACGGGAGGCAGCAGUCGGGAAUUUUGGGCAAUGGGGGAAACCCUGACCCAGCAACGCCGCGUGAAGGAUGAAGUAUUUCGGUAUGUAAACUUCGAAAGAAUAGGAAGAAUUAAUGACGGUACUAUUUAUAAAGUCCGGCUAACUACGUGCCAGCAGCCGCGGUAAUACGUAGGGACCAAGCGUUGUUCGGAUUUACUGGGCGUAAAGGGCGCGUAGGCGGCGUGGUAAGUCACUUGUGAAAUCUCUGAGCUUAACUCAGAACGGCCAAGUGAUACUGCUGUGCUCGAGUGUGGAAGGGGCAAUCGGAAUUCUUGGUGUAGCGGUGAAAUGCGUAGAUAUCAAGAGGAACACCUGAGGUGAAGACGGGUUGCUGGGCCAACACUGACGCUGAGGCGCGAAAGCCAGGGGAGCAAACGGGAUUAGAUACCCCGGUAGUCCUGGCCCUAAAC
rnacentral:rRNA from 1 species